rnacentral:rRNA from 1 species
GUUAUAUGGUCAAGUGACCAAGCGUGCACGGUGGAUGCCUUGGCAGUCAGAGGCGAUGAAGGACGUGGUAAUCUGCGAAAAGCUUGGGGGAGUCGAUAAACAGACUGUGAUCCCAAGAUGUCCGAAUGGGGAAACCCACUCUACUUGUAGAGUAUCCCACAGUGAAUACAUAGCUGUGUGGAGGCGAACCCGGGGAACUGAAACAUCUAAGUACCCGGAGGAAAAGAAAUCAACCGAGAUUCCCUAAGUAGCGGCGAGCGAAAGGGGAUUAGCCCUUAAGUGGUUUUGGUGUUAGUAGAAGGCUCUGGAAAGAGUCGCCGUAGAGGGUGAUAGCCCCGUAUACGAAAACACCUUAAUCAUGAAAACGAGUAGGACGGGACACGUGUUAUCCUGUCUGAAUAUGGGGGGACCAUCCUCCAAGGCUAAAUACUCCUGACUGACCGAUAGUGAACCAGUACCGUGAGGGAAAGGCGAAAAGAACCCCUGUGAGGGGAGUGAAAUAGAUCCUGAAACCGUGUACGUACAAGCAGUGGGAGCGGACUUGUUCCGUGACUGCGUACCUUUUGUAUAAUGGGUCAACGACUUAUUUUCAGUAGCAAGGUUAAGCAUGUAGUGGAGCCGUAGGGAAACCGAGUCUUAAUAGGGCGUUUAGUUGCUGGGAAUAGACCCGAAACCGGGCGAUCUAUCCAUGAGCAGGUUGAAGGUUGGGUAACACUAACUGGAGGACCGAACCCACAUCCGUUGAAAAGGCUGGGGAUGACUUGUGGAUAGGAGUGAAAGGCUAAUCAAGCUCGGAGAUAGCUGGUUCUCCUCGAAAGCUAUUUAGGUAGCGCCUCGUAUCUCACCAUUGGGGGUAGAGCACUGUUUGGGCUAGGGGGUCAUCCCGACUUACCAACCCCAUGCAAACUCCGAAUACCAAUGAGUGCAAUUACGGGAGACACACAGCGGGUGCUAACGUCCGUUGUGGAAAGGGAAACAACCCAGACCGUCAGCUAAGGUCCCAAAGUUACAGUUAAGUGGGAAACGAUGUGGGAAGGCUUAGACAGCUAGGAGGUUGGCUUAGAAGCAGCCAUCCUUUAAAGAAAGCGUAAUAGCUCACUAGUCGAGUCGGCCUGCGCGGAAGAUAUAACGGGGCUAAAACUGUACACCGAAGCUACGGAUGCUUAAUUGCUGUUUACAGUAAUGGGCAUGGUAGAGGAGCGUUCUGUAAGCCGUUGAAGGUCAAGCUGUAAGGCAGGCUGGAGGUAUCAGAAGUGCGAAUGUUGACAUGAGUAACGAUAAGGGGAGUGAAAAACUCCCCCGCCGGAAGACCAAGGUUUCCUGUCCCAUGUUAAUCAGGGCAGGGUGAGUCGGCCCCUAAGGCGAGGCAGAAAUGCGUAGUCGAUGGGAAACAGGUUAAUAUUCCUGUACUCGUGCAUAUUGCGAUGGAGAGACGGAGAAGGCUAGGCCAGCACAGCGAUGGUUGUCUGUGUUUAAGGCGGUAGGUUGGGUGCUUAGGCAAAUCCGGGCACCCCCCUUUAGUGGGAAGACCGAGAACUGACGACGAGCCCUCUUUUGGGUGAAGUGGUUGAUGCCAUGCUUCCAGGAAAAACUUCUAAGCUUCAGAUAUGCAGGAACCGUACCCCAAACCGACACAGGUGGUCAGGUAGAGAAUACCAAGGCGCUUGAGAGAACUCGGGUGAAGGAACUAGGCAAAAUGGUACCGUAACUUCGGGAGAAGGUACGCCGGUUAGUGUGAAGGACUUGCUCCGUAAGCAUUGAUCGGUCGAAGAUACCAGGUGGCUGCGACUGUUUAUUAAAAACACAGCACUCUGCAAACACGAAAGUGGACGUAUAGGGUGUGACGCCUGCCCGGUGCUUGAAGGUUAAUUGAUGGGGUUAGCGCAAGCGAAGCUCUUGAUCGAAGCCCAAGUAAACGGCGGCCGUAACUAUAACGGUCCUAAGGUAGCGAAAUUCCUUGUCGGGUAAGUUCCGACCUGCACGAAUGGCGUAACGAUGGCCACACUGUCUCCACCCGAGACUCAGUGAAAUUGAAAUCGCAGUGAAGAUGCUGUGUAUCCGCGGCUAGACGGAAAGACCCCGUGAACCUUUACUAUAGCUUCACAGUGAACUUUGAACCUACUUGUGUAGGAUAGGUGGGAGGCUUUGAAGCGGUGACGCCAGUUACCGUGGAGCCACUCUUGAAAUACCACCCUGGUAUGUUUGAGGUUCUAACUCAGGUCCCUUAUCGGGAUCGAGGACACUGUGUGGUGGGUAGUUUGACUGGGGCGGUCUCCUCCCAAAGAGUAACGGAGGAGCACGAAGGUGUGCUCAGCAUGGUCGGAAAUCAUGCAUAGAGUGUAAAGGCAAAAGCACGCUUAACUGCGAGACAGACACGUCGAGCAGGUACGAAAGUAGGUCUUAGUGAUCCGGUGGUUCUGUAUGGAAGGGCCAUCGCUCAACGGAUAAAAGGUACUCCGGGGAUAACAGGCUGAUACCGCCCAAGAGUUCACAUCGACGGCGGUGUUUGGCACCUCGAUGUCGGCUCAUCACAUCCUGGGGCUGAAGCCGGUCCCAAGGGUAUGGCUGUUCGCCAUUUAAAGUGGUACGCGAGCUGGGUUUAGAACGUCGUGAGACAGUUCGGUCCCUAUCUGCCGUGGACGUUUGAGAUUUGAGAGGAGCUGCUCCUAGUACGAGAGGACCGGAGUGGACGAACCUCUGGUGUUCCGGUUGUCACGCCAGUGGCAUUGCCGGGUAGCUAUGUUCGGACGGGAUAACCGCUGAAAGCAUCUAAGCGGGAAGCCUCCCUUAAGAUAAGAUCUCACUGGGACCUAAGUCCCCUAAAGAGCCGUUCGAGACUAGGACGUUGAUAGGUUGGGUGUGUAAGUGCUGUGAGGCAUUGAGCUAACCAAUACUAAUUGCUCGUGAGGCUUGACCAUAUAACACCAAAGUGGUUUUAG